AUUGUUCACUCUCCCUCAAGGGCUUCCAGCAAUUGCUUGUAAAUCAAAUAACCCUCACAAGCAGCAAUGCUCGAGGCCUUUUUAAGGAGAGUGAAGAA
rnacentral:pre_miRNA from 1 species